UGUAAACUAGGGUUUUAUGCAUUGUACAUCAUUAUUUAUUCAUAAAACAACAUUAAUUACUCAAAUUCCAUUAGUUAAUCAGCUUCCGUGGCGCGUUUGGCCAAUUUGAAUAGUAAAAUAUCCAAAUGGCCAUCCCGCCACGGAUCACUGAUUAAGCAUUGGGGAAAAGGAAGGUCCAUUGUUUCCAAAUGAAGCACGGAAAUGAAUUCCUCCGCAGUUCAGUUACUACUCGCUCCCAACAAUACAUCUCCCCAAUAUACCCAAACCCCCAUUCUCAUAUACCCAAACCCCCAUUUUCAUCUACCAAAUCCCCAUUCUCAUAUAACCAAACCCCCAUUCUCAUAUACCCAAACCCGCAUUCUCAUAUACCAAACCCCCAUUCUCAAAUACCCGACAACCCCGCCGAGUCGCCUGUGCCACACACACAAGCCAAACUAUAAUCUAUUAAGCAAACAAACCGGCAAUGGAUAUGGAAAAGCAAUUGGUGGACUAGCAUGGUCAAGCGACAAUGAACGCAGAGAAUAACCCGGAACUGAUGCCACAGGUCUGGUCCCCGGGAGAAACUUCCACCCAAUGACUCGCUUCGUAAGACGCUCAGAAGCUGCUACCGAAACGAAAAACAGCCCUACCAACAGGUUCCCAUGCAGGAACAACAACUGUUUGACAACGUUUGAGACGUUAAGCGAGUGGCGAGAGAAAAGAUGAACAGAGAAGUAAAUCCCCAAAGCACCCCCCUCCCCCCCGGAAGGACCAGAAAAGGGCAACAGUCCCGGCACAACUGCUAGAGUCGAACACAAAGAGCUUUAGAUAGCCCUGGGAAAGUUGACCCCCACCAGCCAAGAAAAGAAUAAAGAACCCAAGAAACGCAAACGAAAACCAGCUAACGAGCGCAAACACAAGAUCAGUAAUUUCAUACCCACUCGAAAAACAUAUAUUGCGCAAGAAUUGGGUGAUUCGCGUAUGGCAAGGAAGGUAUACUGUUCUGAAUCGCCAAAACAUUGGCCCUUGUCUGUCCAAUCCAAAUGCAGUAAGCACGUGCGCUCGGUCUCAAGCAAUCAUGUAUGGCGAGACGCACCUCUUGCAUUUGCAAAC